UAGAUGAACUCAUGAUGGUGGAACCAUCAGGA
rnacentral:piRNA from 1 species